AUUGAACGCUGGCGGCAGGCUUAACACAUGCAAGUCGAGCGGGGGAAGGUAGCUUGCUACCGGACCUAGCGGCGGACGGGUGAGUAAUGCUUAGGAAUCUGCCUAUUAGUGGGGGACAACAUCUCGAAAGGGAUGCUAAUACCGCAUACGUCCUACGGGAGAAAGCAGGGGAUCUUCGGACCUCGCGCUAAUAGAUGAGCCUAAGUCGGAUUAGCUAGUUGGUGGGGAAAAGGCCUACCAAGGCGACGAUCUGUAGCGGGUCUGAGAGGAUGAUCCGCCACACUGAGACUGAGACACGGCCCAGACUCCUACGGGAGGCAGCAGUGGGGAAUAUUGGACAAUGGGGGGAACCCUGAUCCAGCCAUGCCGCGUGUGUGAAGAAGGCCUUAUGGUUGUAAAGCACUUUAAGCGAGGAGGAGGCUACUCUAGUUAAUACCUAGGGAUAGUGGACGUUACUCGCAGAAUAAGCACCGGCUAACUCUGUGCCAGCAGCCGCCGUAA
rnacentral:rRNA from 1 species